rnacentral:rRNA from 1 species
GCAGGGGAUCUUCGGACCUUGCGCUAUUGGAUGUGCCUAUGUCGGAUUAGCUAGUUGGUGGGGUAAAGGCCUACCAAGGCGACGAUCCGUAGCUGGUCUGAGAGGAUGAUCAGCCACAUCGGGACUGAGACACGGCCCGAACUCCUACGGGAGGCAGCAGUGGGGAAUAUUGGACAAUGGGGGCAACCCUGAUCCAGCCAUGCCGCGUGUGUGAAGAAGGCUUUCGGGUUGUAAAGCACUUUCAGUGAGGAGGAAAACCUUAUGGUUAAUACCCAUGAGGCUUGACGUUACUCACAGAAGAAGCACCGGCUAACUCCGUGCCAGCAGCCGCGGUAAUACGGAGGGUGCAAGCGUUAAUCGGAAUUACUGGGCGUAAAGCGCGCGUAGGUGGUUUGAUAAGCGAGAUGUGAAAGCCCCGGGCUUAACCUGGGAACGGCAUUUCGAACUGUCAGGCUAGAGUAUGGUAGAGGAGUGUGGAAUUUCCUGUGUAGCGGUGAAAUGCGUAGAUAUAGGAAGGAACACCAGUGGCGAAGGCGGCACUCUGGACCAAUACUGACACUGAGAGUGCGAAAGCGUGGGGAGCAAACAG